rnacentral:tRNA from 1 species
GGGAAUAUGGCUUAGUGGUAGAGUGCUUGCCUAGCAUGCAUGAAGCACUGGGUUCAAUUUCCCAGUAAUACAU